AAAGUAAAAUGAAUUCACUGCUUUAUUAAGUUAAACUUAUAAGAUGUAAGCGUUAAACAGGAAUUAAUGCAUCACAUCUUAAUAAGACUUCCUUAAGAGGAAUCCAAAUACAUGCAGGAUACAAUAAACACUACAACCCACUCCCUUAUAAAACCCAUAGAGUCUCUCAUGCGACUUCUCUCUUCCAAUUCUGAAUUUAGGUGUCCAGCUGUUACAAUUUUCCUACUUUGAUUUUGUUCCAAGGAUGAUUUUGGCUCAAUUUCCGGGUUUGUGUCAUGUCAUGUAACGCAUGUG